rnacentral:rRNA from 1 species
GAUGAACGCUGGCGGCGUGCUUAACACAUGCAAGUCGAGCGAAGCACUUCGUUUUGAAUCUUCGGAGGAAGAACGGAAUGACUGAGCGGCGGACGGGUGAGUAACGCGUGGGCAACCUGCCUCAUACAGGGGGAUAACAGUUAGAAAUGACUGCUAAUACCGCAUAAGACCGCGGUACCGCAUGGUACAGCGGUAAAAACUCCGGUGGUAUGAGAUGGGCCCGCGUCUGAUUAGCUAGUUGGCGGGGUAACGGCCCACCAAGGCAACGAUCAGUAGCCGACCUGAGAGGGCGACCGGCCACAUUGGGACUGAGACACGGCCCAA